UACGAAGGGGGCUAGCGUUGCUCGGAAUCACUGGGCGUAAAGCGCACGUAGGCGGAUUGUUAAGUCAGGGGUGAAAUCCUGGAGCUCAACUCCAGAACUGCCUUUGAUACUGGCGAUCUCGAGUCCGGGAGAGGUGAGUGGAACUGCGAGUGUAGAGGUGAAAUUCGUAGAUAUUCGCAAGAACACCAGUGGCGAAGGCGGCUCACUGGACCGGUAUUGACGCUGAGGUGCGAAAGCGUGGGAGCAACAGGGAUUAAGAAACCCAGUA
rnacentral:rRNA from 1 species